GCGAUGGUGGUGUAGUUGGUUAUCACGUCAGUCUAACAGAGGAGCCUCGACCGAGCAUCGUCAACCACGAGUUCACGAGUCCCUGGUAGUUCACUGAAGGUCCUGGGUUCAAGUCCCGGCCGUCGUA
rnacentral:tRNA from 1 species